rnacentral:tmRNA from 2 species
GGGGUUGACUGGAUUUGACAGCGGGCUGAGAUGGUAUGUAAGCAUGCGGAGUGACGACUGUAAACUCCAUAAUCCAUUCGGUCAAAAAUUUAAUUGGCGAAAACAAAUACGCUCUCGCUGCCUAAUCGAAGUACAGUAGAUUACUGGCUUAAUUCCCUUACUAGGUGAGGGAACGAGACAUCGCUCUUCUGGAUGUUGUUCCGAAUCAGGAAGGUAUAGCGGUGCAGGAUAAUCGGAAAUAGUCUGCGUGGAGCUCCGACAGGCAGAUGAAAUUCAGGAGAUAAGGUCAUGAUUGGUGGUCCAGGUCUUGUCAUGAUUCGAAAAACAAAGGCUGGAAUAAGCAUGUAGAAAGCAUAUGGUUUCCCUGUUUGGACGAGGGUUCGACUCCCUCCAGCUCCACUC